rnacentral:lncRNA from 1 species
CAUAAUCAAUCUCGAGAAACAUGACACAAUGGAUUCCAUAAAAUAGAUAAACUUCUUCUAUGAUGUUAGAAAAAAGAACCACCUGAUUUGAACAAAUGAGAAAUCUAUAAAUGUUUAAUAUUUUCAUUAUGAAGCAAAAUCCAAAAUAAGAAGAUCCAUGAAGAAUCGAUGAAGAAUCCACCAAGAUCCGAGCGCCGAUAGGUGGGACCCACAUGUCAACCGCACAGACGAAAGUGAAAAUGACGAAUGUGCCUCCUCGGUUCCUG